AAAGGGGGUGGGGAUGGCGGGGGGUGAGGUAAAAAAGGUUCACCGACACCGGAGGGGGGGUUUGGAUGCCGACCGUGAAGGAGGGGGGUUUUUCGAGGGAUGGGGAGGGGUGGAAACGGAGGGAGAAGGGGCUGGGGGUAGGGGAGGGGGGUGUCGAGGGUAGGGGGCAGGCCUCGUGGGCGAAUAGGGACCACCGGCGCGCAGGGGGAGGGGUAGGAUCUAGCGGCCGCCGCCGGCGCGGUCUUGUAGGGGCAGGUGGUGGGGCGUUGGGGUGGGGUGGGUCUUGGGUGGUGGGGUUUUUUUUUAUAUAAUUUUUUAAAGUUUUUUUUAAUAAUUAAUUAACUAAUAUUACAACAACCUAUUAGAGGCUUCCACAUGGCUUAUUAGUCAUUAAUGACUAACGGCGGUUAACUGCCGUUAGUCAUUAAGGGUAUUCGGCGACAUUUUUCUUAAACUCAUGAGUAUUUGGUGGAUUUAAAAGUUUUGAUGGGUAAUUGGUGAAUAAAAAAAUAACUCAGGGGCAUUUGGUGUAAUUUCUGUAUUUUAAAAAAUAAAAAAAUUUCUUAUAAAUAGCCCUAAAAACACUCCCCUCAUUUCAGUUUCCUUUCUCUCUAUCCUCUCUCUAGCCGCACACCCUCUCUCUCUCUUCUUUCUUCAUCUACCUUCUCUCUGUAUCUAUCCUCUCUUGCUACUCCCUCUCUUCUCGAUCUCCUUCGCUACUCCCUCUCUUCUCUUUAUCUCUCCUUCAUUGUUGAUUUCCGAAGCUAGCCCACGAAGCACCCCGAUGUAUUUCCUGACCAAGUUCCCGGCAUGUUAUGGUUUUAAGGUCAAGUUCGACCAUGGAAAUGCUAGAUCUAGCGUUUUCAUGGUCGAAUUUGGCCUUAUAUAACAAUUUCAAGACUAACCAUGGUUGAAUCGUUGUGAUAUAGGUGGUUCUAUAGGUGGAUAUCGCUAUAAAGAGUCUGCUACGAAGGCCAAAGUAGUAUCUAAGAAGGUCAAAGCAGUACCUAAGAAGGCUAAAACAAUGCUUCAAGAGUCUCUUAAGGGUAAAAUAGUGCCUAAGAAGGCCAAAACUAUGAUUGAAGAGGCUUCUAAGGGUGAAAUAGUAACUAAGAAGGCCAAAACAAUGCCCAAAGAGUCUGCAAAGGAAAAAACACAGUACGUAAGAAGAGAAAGAUAAGUCCUCAAUUAGAAUUGGAUUCUGAUUUUGACCUUGAUACUUCAUGUAAGAGAACUUGUUUUCAAUGAUUCUUGAUUUGCAUUUGUUUAUGAUAUUGUUUUAUUGACAUUUUUUUUUUGUUUUUUUUUACAAGUAGGUGUAGACCAUAUAGAGGGACCAAAGACCUUUGAUUACAAGGUGUAGACCAUAUACCUUGGAAAGCUUGGUGCAGAGCUUUAGUGUUAAUAAAAAACAAGAUGUUGAAGAAGUUGGUUUUGGUGGUUUAUUACAUUUAAAGUUGAAAGCUCUCUGUCGUAAAAUGCUACCUUGGCUUGUGAAAAUCUUUAAUGGUGGUAGCUGCCUGUUUACUAUUGGUAGUGGUAAAUAAUUUGUAGUUACUAGGAAUGAUGUAUGUGGCGUGUUUUGUUUUCCUAUGGGUGAUAUUCCUGUUCCUGAACUAAAGAAAAAUGUUGAAAAUGCAAGUGUAGACAACUGUAUUAUUAAGGCUUGGAGAUUUGAUUUUGAUAUUUCUGAUAAGCAAGCUAUCCCUUUGCCAAAAUUAGAGUCUUGGAUAAAGGCUUUGGUUGAUGGAGGGGAAGAAUUUAAGAGGUAUUUUGUUGUUCAUGCUAUGUUUAGCUUUUUAGCUCCUGCUACUAAUAGGAACGCUUCAUUGAAGUUGCUAAAGAUUGUUGAAGAAGUUGAUGAAAUCAAAACUUUUGAUUGGUGUUCUUAUGUUUUGAAGAAGUUAAAGAAGGAUGUGGAUAACUAUAACAAUGAAACAACUGCUCAGAUUGUUAGUGGAUGUUUGGUGGUUUUCAAAUUCUGUAUUUUCAUCGUUUAAAUAUUUAAGGAGUAAAGGAGAGUUGUAGUAUUCCUUUUAUUCAGCAUUGGACAGAUGCUAAGAUUAAGAGUUGGAUUAAUUUAUAAAGCUGGUGGUUUUGGACAGGGACCAUUGGAUACCACUACGUAUCCUGUGUCACAGUUUGCUAUUAGCCAAUCUGUUGUUGUUGUUGUUGUUAAGAAACCUCUUACUUUGGGAUCUAGUCAGGAUGGUUUAAAGUUAUUGGUGCUUCUUCAAGUGGUACAAUUGGCUGCUUUAUUCAAUUAGAGCUUCCAGAAGGUGUGAUGACUGAUGAUGAAAUAAAAGAAAUUUCAACUAA